rnacentral:rRNA from 1 species
UACAGAGGGUGCGAGCGUUGUCCGGAAUCACUGGGCGUAAGGGGCGCGUAGGCGGUCUGCUAAGCGUGUGGUGAAAGCUCGGGGCUCAACCCCGAGUCGGCCGUGCGAACUGGUGGACUGGAGCAUGUCAGAGGCAGGCGGAAUUCCGGGUGUAGCGGUGGAAUGCGUAGAGAUCCGGAAGAACACCGGUGGCGAAGGCGGCCUGCUGGGACAUUGCUGACGCUGAGGCGCGACAGCGUGGGGAGCAAACAGG